CUAAAUUAGAAGUAAACCCAAACAUUCUAAAUUAGAAGUAAACCCAAACAUUCUAAAUUAGAAGUAAAGAUAACAACAUGCCCCAACCACAGCCCAGCGUAAGAGAUUAAUAACAUGGGGAUAAAUAACAAGACUGUUGAAUUUGCAGACGACACAACACUUGGGGGAAUGUGAAAUCCUAAAUGAUUAAAACUACAUACAGAACUGGGUAGAAACAUGGCAAAAGAAAUGUCAUGUCAUCAAGUGUAAAGUGUUACAUGAGGAGACCCAGCUUGAUGAAGUUCUGAGAUCAGUCAGCUACUAGGAACCAGGUGAGCUGAGAUGAAGUUUUGAGAUCAGUCAGCUACUAGGAACCAGAUGAGCUGAGAUGAAGUUCUGAGAUCAGUCAGCUACUAGGAGCCAGAUGAGCGGAGAUGAAGUUCUGAGAUCAGUCAGCUGCUAGAAACCAGAUGAGCUGAGAUGUGCUGAAUGGCCUCCUCUCGUUUGUGGAUUGUCUUCUGUUCUUGUGUAUUUGUGCUCAUUUGGAAUUUGUAAGGAUGGGUUUGUUACCAUGAAUUCCUGCAAUUUCUCCGGCAAAUACAUAUCCCUUUGUAGUUGUAGGAAGCAUCUUGCAGUGGACUAUAGCAGCAAUCAGUGUCUGCACACUGUCUCUCACAGGAGUCCUGGCCAUCAAAAGAAUAAAGAAAGUAUUGUUGUCUGCAAUACCCAGUCCAGAAUGCAGUUCUGCAAUGAACUUCCCUGCACAGGCUCCUAUCCCUCUACAAGCACUGAAAUGUGAAGAAGAGGAUGAAGUGAAGGUGCUGGUAGUGCUGGAGAGAAGCGCUGGACCCCCCCCUGCCGAGGACACAGCCCUGACGAGGGCGGAGGAGAGCGGGGACAGCGACCACACGGACUCCUCGUCAGAGAGCGGGAGCCUGGCCGGCUUUGAAAGCAACUUCAAUCCACAUUAUAAAACACAGGUGCUGACCCACCCUGAACUGGAGGGGGACGAUUCACAUGAUGAAGCCCAUUUAUAGAAACAGACAAAAAACACUGAGUGUGGAGCAGCCUAAGGGAUAUGUUAAACAAGGCGAUAUUGUCAAUCACAGCUGACAAUAAUAGAUAGUACACACAUUGCCUAGCGUAAAUAUACACUGGCAACCUUGCCAAAGAAGAUCUGACUCAUGGGUCUCAGAGUCUCUCCUGGUAAAGGCACGACCGCGUGGUGUGCAGGGUGAGUCGUACAGUCAGAGCAGUGGUGGUUAUUGCUGUGUGAAGCUGCUGUUCUUCGCUGGGGAUUCCACAGGAAGCUCUGGCAAUCCAGUAAGAUCGUCAGGGACUAUCUCCAAAUUGCUGGCCAAUGCCUGGUGAGCUCAAUCAGACACCUGCAGGACUGUCCUCCAGCGGCCGGCAGCUCACAUCCGCUGUGGAGCUCCUGGGUGUAAAGAGGUGAUUGGCUUGGGGAUCGGAGGAUGCCCACUGACCUUCAGUUCUCCUGGUGUUGUCGGGAGUUGCUGCUGUGAGGGGCUAAAUUGACUUCUAAAUUGGGGUGAAAACUAGAGAGGCAAUUCCAAGAUGUUAUUGUAUUUUUCAAGGUUAACAGAUGUUAUGGAGACUGUACACAUACAGAAUAUUUCCAUAUUGACAUGUCACACAAUUCUUAA